AAGUCCAUGGUAUGGAUAUUUUCUUAGCAAAUGCCUAAACAUUUCCCAAUCUUCAUGCAAUGAUUCACCAUCUUGUUGGCUAAAACUAGUAAUGUCUGUUCUAAACUU